rnacentral:rRNA from 1 species
UACGGAGGGGGUUAGCGUUGUUCGGAAUGACUGGUCGUAAAGCGCGCGUAGGCGGACCAUCAAGUCGGGGGUGAAAUCCCGUGGCUCAACCCCGGAAUGGCCUUCGAGACUGGUGGUCUUGAGUUCGAGAGAGGUGAGUGGAAUUCCGAGUGUAGAGGUGAAAUUGGUAGAUAUUCGGAGGAACACCAGUGGCGAAGGCGGCUCACUGGCUCGACACUGACGCUGAGGUGCGAAAGCGUGGGGAGCAAACAGG